GGUCCGAUGGUGUAGUUGGUUAUCACGUCAGUCUAACAUCUCCGGAUGGUUCACUGAAGGUCGAGAGAUCGAGCCUCUCUUGGAUCA
rnacentral:tRNA from 1 species